GUACACACCGCCCGUCACACCAUGGGAGUUGGUUCUACCCGAAGGUGGUGCGCUAACCGCAAGGAGGCAGCYGRCCACGGUAGGGSUCAGCGACUGGGGUGAAGUCGUAACAAGGUAGCCGUAGGUGAACCUGCAGAAGGAUCA
rnacentral:rRNA from 1 species